GAUUGGAGGUCGUCAUUUUUCCGACUCCUUCGGCACCUUGAGAGAAAUCAAAGUCUUUGGGUUACUGGGGGGAGUAUGGUCGCAAGGCUGAAACUUAAAGGAAUUGACGGAAGGGCACCACCAGGCGUGGAGCCUGCGGCUUAAUUUGACUCAACACGGGGAAACUCACCAGGUCCAGACAAUGUUAAGGAUUGACAGAUUGAUAGCUCUUUCUUGAUUCUUUGGGUGGUGGUGCAUGGCCGUUCUUAAAUGUGG
rnacentral:rRNA from 1 species